rnacentral:rRNA from 1 species
AGAGUUUGAUCAUGGCUCAGAAUCAACGCUGGCGGCGUGCCUAACACAUGCAAGUCGAACGCGAAAGUUCCGCAAGGGAUGAGUAGAGUGGCAAACGGGUGAGUAACACGUGGGUGACCUGCCUUCGAGCGGGGGAUAACGUCCCGAAAGGGACGCUAAUACCGCAUGACAUCCUGCCUUUGAAGAGGCGGAGAUCAAAG